rfam:Cyanobacteria bacterium 13_1_40CM_2_61_4 13_1_40cm_2_scaffold_393978, whole genome shotgun sequence.
CCCACGGCUGGCGCCGUGGGUUAGGAUCUGACGCCCCUUCGGGGCU